GCUGCGGUGGCCUAGUGGUUAGAGCGUCCGCCUUGAAUGCGGGAGGUCGUAGGUUCAAUCCUCCACGGAGUCA